AGGUGGUGCAGGCGAAGCGGUGGCAGCGCGGCCCCUCCUCGGCCACCAGCACGUUGCCGCAGGCCGGGCAGAACAGCAGCAUCGCCGCUUUUCCUCCGCCGCCGCCCGCCCCUUCCGGGCCGCGAUGGCGGCCGCCGAGCCCGAGGAGGAGCUGGCUCACGCCGACGUGCUGGAGCUGUUCCAGGAGGCGCUGGCGAGGCUGGUGCGGGACCCGCUGCUCUGCGACCUCCCGCCUCAGGUGACGGCGGAGGAGAUCGGCUCGCAGGUGGCGCUGGAGUACGGACAGGCCAUGACCGUGCGUGUCUGCAAGGCCGACGGCGAGAUCAUCCCUGUGGUGGUGGUGCAAAACGCCUCGGUGCUGGAGCUGAAGAAGGCGCUGAGGCGGCACAUACAGCUGAUGCAGGCUCGGCGAGGCGGCGUGCAGCACCUCAGCUGGAAGUACAUAUGGAGGACGUACCACUUGACCUACGCUGGAGAGAAACUGGCAGAUGACAGAAAGAAGCUGAGAGAGUAUGGCAUCAGGAACAGGGAUGAGGUCAGCUUCAUAAAGAAGCUUCGAAAGUAACCUGUCAGAGACAGCAGAGAAUCCAGCCCUACCCAGAGCAGAGUGUGGCUCCAGCAUGUUCCUGGAGGACAAGGUUGGAACGUUUCAAAGAGAAACCAAACUGCAGCUGAAUGGGCAUCUGAGAUGGCUUUUGGAGUUGCUGUUUGCAAGGUCCAGGUUCUGGGUGCUAGAAAAGGAUUGAUCCUUCCAGCACAUAAAGCAGCAGAGGUGAGAUCAAGGAACACACGGACUAUGCAGAACAAUUCUCAGUAGCUAAAACGCUACCUGACCGUUUAAUCACCACCUCAGCAGCAGUAAACAACUCUGGUUAAAAAUGUAGUAGUGAAACUUAGUGUAAUAAAAACAAUGGCAGCAGAAAA